rnacentral:lncRNA from 1 species
GGUGAUUGGGAGAUACCAUGGAGUGUGGCUUUGGAAGUCAACUCUAUAAAUAGGCUGAAGGAUAUGCUUUCAGUAAGAGUACAACACUCCUUAAGGGAGGAAAAUACUCUUGCUGAUUUUUUCGCUAACCUGGUUUUUUGUUUUGCAGGAGACUUUGAAUAUACAAAUUUCCAGGAGGUUCCAAUCGCAAGCAGAAAGAUAAUCAACAUGGAUAAGCAUAAUGUUCCAAAUAUGAGAAUCAGACAAUUCAAUGCUACAAUCUACUAAAACUGUGAGUUAAUCCACAAAGAGCCAAGGUGAAGUUUAAAGCUAGUUAGAAUAACACUGUAUGGUAGUGCCUAUAGAAUCUAAAGCAACUUCUUUUGGUCAAUAUAUCACACAUCUGGUGAGAGCUUUGAGGUGUGUCAUGUGGUAUAAAACCAGGUCUAAGAAGGUAAUGGCAUUCAAGUGUCUAUCUAAGUUUGUUAUAACUUACACCAUCUUCUUUAAGAGCCUUAUAGGCAGUGCAAGACAAAUCUUCACUAAUGGGGUUAGAGAUACAAUCGCAGUCCAACAAAGAGCAUAACAAUGCUAUUGAAGACAUAACUAGUUAUGCAGCCUAUUCAGAUAAUUGAUCGACAAAAUCUCUCACAAUCCACACAAUCAGUGAAAUUUACUUGAAUUUAAGAACAGGUGGUGGUAUUAAUCCCUUGUUUGGAUUCAACCUACUUAGACUUAGAUUUGGGUAAGGAUUAACUGAUUGUAGGUUGUGAAGGUACAAGUUGACUCAAAAUGAGGUGAUUACAUACAUCGAUUUCGUACUCAAGAAAAGAACAGAUCUAAUCAUCACAAAGUCAAAACAUCAGAUGGUCAAGAUAAGAAGCAUACCUAUUUUUGGAAGAUGAACUACAAUGGCAGUUGAGAGCUGUAGAAGGUCGGAGAAGUUGCCGGAGUUUAGACAGCCAUAGAGCUCGUUGAAGAAGACCUGAAUCAUUUCCUUUUUUUGAUUUUGUGCGUCUGUCUUUCCAAAGAUUGUACAGAGUAUGAUGUGGGCUAUGUUGUCCACAUGUCUUUGUCCUUUUUAUUUCAAUAAAAUUUAAGACCCAAUGGGUCUUUUGAUUAAAAAAAAAAAAAAACUCCUCUAAUAUUUUGUCUAGGACUAGAAGAUCUUGCACUAGGAAGUACUUAAAAUAUAUAAACAAAAACAUACAGGCUUUCGCAAGUUGCCA